rnacentral:miRNA from 1 species
UUUAAGGGGUUCACUGGUAUA